rnacentral:pre_miRNA from 1 species
UGGCAAGAACUUCGGCACGGUCUGGAUCAUAGGAUCUAUGAGAAUCCCUUUUCCUCAUGGGCCGCUCUUGCCCGC